UUAAAAGCAGAGAACACAUUUAGUUGUAAUGUAUGUUUCAAUGACAAUAAAGAUGAUAUUAUUAUUACUAUUACAAAGCUUAGGAAGGUGAGAUCUGCCAGGAUAACGUUCACCUGGAUGGCAGGACUCCAGGUUCAUUCAGCAGUGGGAGGACCCAUAACCUGUAAGCUGGUGGUCAUCGUUUUAUGGCUGAUCAGUGUACGUUCAGUAAAUAACUUAUUUGAGGGCAAUGACAACUGAUCACACCUACUGAUGAGUGGAAACUCUAAUUUUAGCACAAUGUAUAACAGCCCCAGUGUUUUCAGCCACUUCAGUCAUGUGGAAAAUUUCAACAGGUGUGAAUAAUUUUUCACGCCACUAUUCUAAUAAUUAUAUUUUCCAACAAUUUGGUAGAAUCCAAACAUAUCUAUGUUUAAAUUAAGUUUGUAAUUUCUGAAGUAAAUUAGAUUAGUAAAUAGAUUUAAGUGAGUUAUUGUGAGCACCAAUGCAGGAAAACACUGUGAGCUCCAGUUUUGGGAAAUUCAAAAUACUCUUCUGAAAAAUAAAGAAACAGGUCUAAUAACAGGUCUAGUAAUGGUUUAAUAACAGUUAAAAUCACCCUUAAUAACAGGUUUAAUAAGAGGUCUAGUAACAGAUCUAAUAAAAUGUUUAAGAACAGGGUUACUAACAGGUUUAAUAACUGGUCUAAAAGAUCUAACAAUUAUAGGUCUAAACGGUUUAAUAACAGCUUUAAUGAGGGUUUAAUAACAGGAAAUAACAAUCUUACUAACAAGUUUAAUAACGGGUUUAAUAACAGGUUUCUUAAAAGGUUUACUAACGUGUUUACCAACCUGUCUAACAGGUCUAAUAACAGGUUUAAUAACGGUUCACUUACAGGUUUAAUAACGGGUCUAACAUUUCUAUUAACAGGUUUAAUUAUAGGUCUAAUAACAGGUAUAUUAGGAGGUUUAAUAACAGGUAUAUCACCAGUAUAAUUACAGGUCUAAUAACAGAUCUAAUAACAGGUUUAAUAACAGUUUAAUUACAGGUCUAAUAACAGGUUUACUAACAGAUUUAAUAACUGGUCUAACAGAUCUAAUAACAGGUAUUAACAGGUAUAUUACCAGUUUAAUUACAUGUCUAACAACAUAUCUACUAACGGGUCUAAUAACAGGUCUAAUAACAUAAUAACGGGUUUACUAACAGGUUUAAUAACGGGUCUAACGGAUCCAAUAACAGGUUUAAUUAUGGGUUUAAUAACAUAUCUAAUAACAGGUUUAAUUACGGGUCUAAUAACAGGUCUAAUAACGGGUCUAAUAAUGGGUUUAAUAACAGGUUUAAUAACAAGUCUAAUAACGGGUCUAAUAACGGGUCUAAUAACAGGUUUACUAACAGGUUUAAUAACGGGUCUAACGGAUCCCAUAACAGGUUUAAAUAUGGGUCUAAUAACAUAUCUAAUAACGAGUCUAAUAACAGGUCUAAUAACAUAAUAACGGGUCUACUAACAGGUUUAAUAACGGGUCUAAUGGAUCCAAUAACAGGUUUAAUAAUGGGUCUAAUAACAUAUCUAAUAACAGGUUUAAUAACAUAUCUAAUAACAGGUUUAAUUACGGGUCUAAUAACAGGUCUAAUAACGGGUCUAAUAACAGGUUUAAUAACAAGUCUAAUAACGGGUCUAAUAACAGGUCUAAUAACGGGUCUAAUAACAGGUUUACUAACAGGUUUAAUAACGGGUCUAACGGAUCCAAUAACAGGUUUAAAUAUGGGUCUAAUAACAUAUCUAAUAACGAGUCUAAUAACAGGUCUAAUAACAUAAUAACGGGUUUACUAACAGGUUUAAUAACGGGUCUAACGGAUCCAAUAACAGGUUUAAUUAUGGGUCUAAUAACAUAUCUAAUAACGGGUCUAAUAACAGGUCUAAUAACAUAAUAACGGGUUUACUAACAGGUUUAAUAACGGGUCUAACGGAUCCAAUAACAGGUUUAAUUAUGGGUCUAAUAACAUAUCUAAUAACUGGUCUAAUAACAGCUCUAAUAACAUAAUAACGGGUUCACUAACAGGUUUAAUAAUGGGUCUAAUAACAUAUCUAAUAACAGGUUUAAUAACAUAUCUAAUAACAGGUUUAAUUACGGGUCUAAUAACGGGUCUAAUAACAGGUUUACUAACAGGUUUAAUAACGGGUCUAAUAACAUAAUAACAGGUUUACUAACAGGUUUAAUAACGGGUCUAACGGAUCCAAUAACAGGUUUAAAUAUGGGUUUAAUAACAUAUCUAAUAACAGGUUUAAUAACGGGUCUAACAGAUCUAAUAACAGGUAUUAACAGGUAUAUUACCAGUUUAAUUACAUGUCUAACAACAUAUCUACUAACGGGUCUAAUAACAGGUCUAAUAACAGGUUUACUAAAAGGUUUAAUAACGGGUCUAAUAAAAUAAUAACGGGUUUACUAACAGGUUUAAUAACGGGUCUAACGGAUCCAAUAACAGGUUUAAUUAUGGGUCUAAUAACAUAUCUAAUAAUAGGUUUAAUAACGGGUCUAAUGGAUCCAAUAACAGGUUUAAUUAUGGGUCUAAUAACAUAUCUAAUAACAUAAUAAUGGGUUUGUCUC